GAUGAACGCUGGCGGCGUGCCUAAUACAUGCAAGUCAAGCGAAUGGAUUAAGAGCUUGCUCUUAUGAAGUUAGCGGCGGACGGGUGAGUAACACGUGGGUAACUUGCCCAUAAGACUGGGAUAACUCCGGGAAACCGGGGCUAAUACCGGAUAACAUUUUGAACCGCAUGGUUCGAAAUUGAAAGGCGGCUUCGGCUGUCACUUAUGGAUGGACCCGCGUCGCAUUAGCUAGUUGGUGAGGUAACGGCUCACCAAGGCAACGAAGCGUAGCCGACCUGAGAGCGUGAUCGGCCACACGGGGACCGAGACACGGCCCAGACUCCUACGGGAGGCAGCAGUAGGGAAUCUUCCGCAAUGGACGAAAGUCUGACGGAGCAACGCCGCGUGAGUGAUGAAGGCUUUCGGGUCGUAAAACUCUGUUGUUAGGGAAGAACAAGUGCUAGUUGAAUAAGCUGGCACCUUGACGGUACCUAACCAGAAAGCCACGGCUAACUACGUGCCAGCAGCCGCCGUAA
rnacentral:rRNA from 1 species